rnacentral:lncRNA from 1 species
GUUACAUGGCAGAGACAGGUGGGGAAUACAAGCAAGUACUCCUGAGCUGGAAGGACUUUCCCUGCUCUGGGGCCUUUGGCCAAGUUACCUCAUCUCUCUAUGCCUCAGUUUCCUCCAUGGCCAAAUGGCUUUGUAAUAUCUAUGCUAUAGGCUGUGAGGAUUAGCAGUAAAUUAUGUGAAGUGCCUGGCUCACAGUCAAGACUUGGCAAGUGGGAAGGCUUGAAGUUCAAGGUGAUGAAGUCAGGGAGAGAAGGAGGUAGGAAG